rnacentral:snoRNA from 1 species
GUAGCACUUAAAUAAAUCCUCUUUUACAACCCAGAACUCAUUGUACAGUAUGAGUUUUGAUAUAUACAAGAAGGAAUAUG